GGGGGGGGGGGGGGGGGGGGGGGGGGGGGGGGGGGGGGGGGGGGGGGGGGGGGGGGGGGGGGGGGGGGGGGGGGGGGUGGCGGGGGGGUGGGGGAUGCGUGGGGAGGUACGGGUGCGGGGGGGGUGGGGUGGGGGAACGUAGGCUAGGACCGCAUACGACCUCCGGGUGAAAGCAGGGGAGCGUCUGACCUGGCGCCAUUGACUGAGGCUCGGUCGGAUUAGCUAGUUGGCGGUGUAAAGGCCCCCCAAGUCGACGAUCCGUAGCUGGUCUGAGAGGAUGAUCAGCCACACUGGAACUGAGACACGGUCGAGACUCCGACGGGAGGCAGCAGUGGGGAAUAUUGGACAAUGGGCGCAAGCCUGAUCCAGCCAUACCGCGUGGGUGAAGAAGGCCUUCGGGUUGUAAAGCCCUUUUGUUGGGAAAGAAAAGCAGCAGGUUAAUACCGCGCUGUUCGGACGGUACCCAAAGAAUAAGCACCGGCUAACUUCGUG
rnacentral:rRNA from 1 species